rnacentral:misc_RNA from 1 species
GAAAUGCGAUAAGUAAUGUGAAUUGCAGAAUUCAGUGAAUCAUCGAAUCUUUGAACGCACCUUGCGCUCCUUGGUAUUCCGAGGAGCAUGCCUGUUUGAGUGUCAUUAAAUUCCUCAACCUUUGGUUGGAUGUGGGUUUGCCGGCUUGAGUCAGCUUACCUUAAAUGCAUUAAUGUCUAUUGGUGUGAUAAUUAUCUACGCCAUAACCACAAUACAUGACCAUUUGACCUCAAAUCAGGUAGGACUACCCGCUGAACUUAA